UACAGAGGUCUCAAGCGUUGUUCGGAUUCAUUGGGCGUAAAGGGUGCGUAGGCGGCGCGGUAAGUCGGGUGUGAAAUCUCGGAGCUUAACUCCGAAACUGCAUUCGAUACUGCCGUGCUUGAGGACUGGAGAGGAGACUGGAAUUUACGGUGUAGCGGUGAAAUGCGUAGAUAUCGUAAGGAAGACCAGUGGCGAAGGCGGGGCUCUGGACAGUUCCUGACGCUGAGGCCCGAAGGCCAGGGGAGCAAACGG
rnacentral:rRNA from 1 species